rnacentral:ncRNA from 1 species
ACCUCCUGCUCGUGAUCGUCUUCUCAACCUUCACGUGCGGGCGGAUGAAAACGGCCGGCCCCCACGAGGACGUGACUCGUGGGGGCCGGCU